rnacentral:rRNA from 1 species
CCCUUAGAUGUUCUGGGCCACACGCGCGCUACACUGACGAAUGCAACGAGCUUAUAACCUUGGCCGAAAGGUCUGGGUAAUCUCCAAAUUUCGUCGUGAUGGGGAUAGAUUAUUGCAAUUAUUAAUCUUCAACGAGGAAUGCCUAGUAAGCGCAAGUCAUCAGCUUGCGUUGAUUACGUCCCUGCCCUUUGUACACACCGCCCGUCGCUCCUACCGAUUGAAUGGUCCGGUGAAGCGUUCGGACCGUGGCCUUUGGACGGUUCGCCGUCUGUUGGCUGCGGGAAGUUCGUUAAACCUUAUCAUUUAGAGGAAGGAGGAGUCGUANCA